UACGGGGGGUGCGAGCGUUGUCCGGAAUUACUGGGCGUAAAGGGCGCGUAGGCGGGUCGUUUAGUUAGAGGUGAAAGCCCAGGGCUCAACCCUGGAAUUGCCUUUAAUACUGGCGGCCUUGAGUAUGGCAGAGGUGUGUGGAACUCCGAGUGUAGAGGUGAAAUUCGUAGAUAUUCGGAAGAACACCAGUGGCGAAGGCGACACACUGGGCCAUUACUGACGCUGAGGCGCGAAAGCGUGGGGAGCAAACAGG
rnacentral:rRNA from 1 species